ACGAGUCAUCGUGGUCAUUAGUCACGUCAUGAAGAGUGCUGCUGUGUUUGCAUCCCACCUGGUGAAGGUCAAUUUCCCACGGGUUUGUAUCCUGGAUGGAGGGAUCAACAAGCUGAAGCCCACUGGACUCUUGACCGUCCCCUCCCCUCAGAUCUGAGCCCAUACGUCAGCUCCACAUAAACAAAAGGGAUGAGCGGAAAGACUGGAAAUUGUCAUUAGCUGAAUUUGAAAAGGGGAACAAAAACAGUCUUGUCACUUUACUGAUACAUUUAACGCAAUGUUUAAAGAACUAUUGUGCAAAUUAAAUCCAAUUUGAUUUGUUAAACUAACAUGCCUAACAGAGCAUUUGUUGUUGUUUUUCUGUCUUAAAACAAGAAUGAAUUUUUUUUUUUUCCUGGAUUAAUUGCCAUGUGUUGUUGUAGCCUCAUACUGAAACUGAUCUGUCUGUGACCAAUAAUGCACUGUCUGUUAUAAUGUCUGUUCUGAGCCAGUUGAUCAUUAGAAAUGUGUUAAAUACUCAGCAGCUACACAAGUACAAAUCAAACUGUACUGCCUUUAAGUCUAUGUCAUGAUGUCUGUUAUGUGCAUUUUUUUUUUAACACUGUCAGAGAGGUGUUCAUUUAAAACCAUGUCUUUGCAUAAUUAAUGCUAUAGUUAAAUGAACUGACUGCAUUGCAUUAAAGGUAUUGCUGAUACCAAGCUCCCCUCAUGUGUAAACAGAGAAUAAGAACUAACAAAGAAGCAAUGCAGAAACAUUAUAUCAUGCAUUUUCUAUUCUAUCAUUCAUUUAUGAUACGAUAUGAUUUUACCAUUUUUGACAAUUGAGACAAAUACUGAACAUUAAAGACUUUGUGCAGUAAUAA